CUUCAGCGAACCGAGCCACACCGGCUCGUCCCCCGGGCGGUCCUGUCCGUAGGUGGCCAGGAGUGCCUGAGCCUC
rnacentral:antisense_RNA from 1 species